GUUUGAGGUUUAGAUUUGUAUUUAUUAAAUUAUUGUAUAAAUAAAAGGAAUUAAUAAUAAAGUAUUGAUUUAAAAAAUAUUAGUUUAAAAGUGAAUGUAAAUAAAAAAGAUAUCGAAAUAAAGGAGAUUUUAAUAAUUGUACCUUUUGUAUCAUGGUUUAACUAGAAAAUUAAAAGUAUUAUUAUUUCUAGAAAUAAAGGGAGCUAUGUCUUAGCUAUAAUUUUUAAUGUGGCAAAAUUAAUAAACAGACUAAGGCAUAGAAAUGAUAAAUUAGUCGGCCUUUAAGAUAGCUAGUUUGAAGAAAAAUACAUUUAAGUGUAGAACAAAAAUGUGAUUAUUUAAGUUAAAAUUUAAUUGACUUACUUUUUGGUUUGAGUUUUAUAGGGUUAAUCUUAUAAAAUAGAAGAAAUAAUUUUAAAGAUAUUUUAAUUGUGGGAUUAGAGGUGUCUAGCAUAUUGAUAGUGUAACAACAAUAGUUGAAAAAAUUUUAUAUUAUGUUUCUUUUUUAUAUCUUUUCUUUAUCUUAAAUUUAUUUUAGAUUGUGUUUAUGUUAGAAUGAGUAUUAUUAUAUAAAUUAAGUGUUUAAAAUUUCUAGAUUUAAAACUUUAAUUUUUUAUGGAUUAUAAAUAUUAAAAAGGAACUCGGCAAAAUGUUAUCUCGCCUGUUUAACAAAAACAUCGCUCUUUGGGUUAAAUUUUAUGAAGAGUCUCGCCUGCCCAAUGAAAAAGAAUUAGGAGGCUAUUUUAAUGGCCGCAGUAUUUUGACUGUGCUAAGGUAGCGUAAUUCAACGUCUUUUAAUUAAAGGCCCAGUAUGAAUGGCUAAACGAGGAUAAAGCUGUCUCUUUAAUAUUAUAUAAAAAUUAUCUUUGAAGUUAAAAGACUUCAAUAUCUUUAAAAGACGAAAAGACCCUAUAGAGUUUAUAAAUUAAGUUCAAUUUUGUUUUGUAGAAUAUAAUAUAAUUGAAUAAAAUUUUUUGUUGGGGCAAUAAAGGAGUCAAUAAAAACUCUUUUUAUUAAUUAUAAAUUGAUGGAUUUUUUGAUCUAAUAUAUGAAUUAAAAGAAAAAGUUACCUUAGGGAUAACAGCGUAAUUUUUCUGGAGAGUACUAAUUGAAGGAAAAGAUUGCGACCUCGAUGUUGGAUUGGAGAUACUUUUAAGUGCAGUAGUUUAAAAUGGCGGUUCGACCGAUGAGAAUCAGGUCAGUUUCUAUCUUUAAAGAAGUGAGGGAUUAUAUUUCUAGUACGAAAGGACCGAUUGUAAUAAAUAGUUUAUUGUAA
rnacentral:rRNA from 1 species